rnacentral:lncRNA from 1 species
GCUAGGUGAUUUCGAAUAUUGCAUGCCUAACAAGAAAACCAACCAUAAGAGGGAGUCAAAGUGCGUACCUGAACGGCUUCUCAAGCGCUAUCAUAAAACAUAAGAAAUUAGUUUGGGAAUCUAUCACACAACAUGUGUCUUAUCCGAUCAAAUCAAGUAUGUAUUUAAACACCUAAGAAUCACAUCAUGCAUGGAUAUGGUCACUAAUCACAUACGUGUCCAUAGAAUUCUCAAAAA